rnacentral:sRNA from 1 species
ACCUUGAUGAUCUCCUGCGGCGUCGGAACGCCGUCGCGGGACUUGAC